rnacentral:rRNA from 1 species
UACGAAGGGGACUAGCGUUGUUCGGAUUUACUGGGCGUAAAGCGCGCGUAGGCGGUUCGCUAAGUCAGGGGUGAAAUCCCAGGGCUCAACCCUGGAACUGCCUUUGAUACUGUCGAUCUGGAGUAUGGAAGAGGUGAGUGGAAUUCCGAGUGUAGAGGUGAAAUUCGUAGAUAUUCGGAGGAACACCAGUGGCGAAGGCGGCUCACUGGUCCAUUACUGACGCUGAGGUGCGAAAGCGUGGGGAGCAAACAGG